UUUCCCUGAGCUGAAAUGAAAACCUCCCGGAAAAGAGAGAAUCCCCCUUAUUUUUUCUCAUAACUUUGGAUUUUAACAUCAGACACAAUAUGUCCGAUCUAAGCAUGGCGUGAAGACGUUCUGAAAACGCAUCCACAUCAGUUUUACAGCAGGUUCGGCAUCAUGGCAGAGGGGGAGGAGGCGAUGAGCCAGGAAGACUGGAAGGAGAGGUGUACGGUUCUGGAGGCGCUGCUCGUGAAGUUCAGGGUCCAGAUCGUCAAGAUCCGGGAGCUCACCGCAGACAAGAUCCAGCAGCUGGAGACGCAGGUGAUCGAUGCAGAGAAGCGAGCGUUUGCUGCAAACCAGCAGGUGAAGUGGAUGGAGGAGAAGCUGAAGGCAGCAGACGGCCAUCUUGGAGACCCUGAGAUGCGUUUGUUUGAGCAGUGCCAGGAGCUGCAGGCCUCGGUGCAGGAGAAGGAGGAAGUGAUCACCCAGCUGGAGCAGCAGCUGGAGGAGCAGAAACAGACUCGACUCCAGGAUGCCAAGUCAGUGGAGGAGAAAGCAGCUAAGAUCAAGGAGUGGGUGAUGCUCAGGUUGUCAGAGUUUGAGGUGGAGAACGCAGCAUUAAGAGAAACCAACAACAAGCAGGAAGCUCAGAUCUUGGAGCUGCAGAAACAAGUGCAGGCCUUUGAGCAGAGGUGCAAACCCGGGGAGGCGCAGCGUCUCAGCAGCCUCACGUUUGGAUGCUUCCAGGUUAGGGGUAAAAACCCCCAGGUCCUAACCGGGCCGGCGCCAUGUCAGCGGACCCUCAGCACACAGGAAGAAAUGUAUACAACACAGACAAGCGGAGACGUCCACGAACAGAACCAAAGUGGGCUUGGGAUUUCUCCGCAGAAGGACAGCAGCGCACCAAAGAAAAGUCCUGGAAGUGCUUCAGAGGGGGAGGAAGUGUGUGAGGGCAAAGGUGGUGUCUCCGGGUUCAGCCGGCCCUGCAGUGAGAACUACCUGACGGCUUCAGACGACAGCAGCUCUCUGUUUGACGAUGACAUGCAGCGCGCCGAGCGACCUGUUUUCGGACUGGUCCAGCUGACAGACGCAGCGCCGGCAGACGGUUUGAGCGGGUCGGCGGCUAAGCUGGAGGACUGCGCCUCCGAAGAGCUCAACCAGCGAUUUCAGUCUCAGAGACUCGACUCCUCAUCGUCUUCCAGCGAGCCGACCACACCCAGCCCCAUCCUCACGCCAGCCCUGACGCCGAAGCGACCCAACGCCCCUCGGGACCCAACAGACAACCCGGCUUCCCCCAAACAGCCGCGUCUGAGGACGCCUACAUCUCUGGUGAAGAAACAUCUGAGCCAGCCGCCCGUCAGCAGCCAGGCAGCGCACGGACAAACACGCAACGCGCUCAGCAUGCUCCGCCCCCUCCGGCCACAGGAAACUGACCUGGACCUAGAGGACAGCAUGGAGACGGGAAGGGAGACGCCUUCGAGCUCACCAACAUCCAACCAAACAUCAUCCGAGUCCAGUUCUGAGAAGCCGGGUUGUGACGCCUCAGGGCCCUGCAAACCCCCGACUCCUCCACUGCACAGACUCCCGUCCUGGGAAAGUCGUAUCUAUGCUGUUGCGAAGUCCGGGAUCAGACUGUCUGAUGCAUCUUGUUCGGGUCAUCCCAGCAGAGAUCCCUCUCUGCAGGCGUCCUACCCCGCCUUCGUGAUGUACACGUCGCUCAUCUAUAAAAACAUGACGGCUCCAGUCUACACCACGCUGAAGGGGAAAGCCACCCUGUUGAGCUGCAGCCCGUUCUCCGACGACUCGUCCAGCUCAGACGAUUCCUCCAGUUCAGGAGAGGAGGACGGCUCCGUCUGCAGCUCCCACAAUUCCUCUGGGUCCAGGAAGGACGGGAGCCCAGGAAGCCCACGCUGCCUCAAGAGAGCCGUGUCCGUGGCGUCCAUGACGUCAGAGAGUGACUAUGCCAUCCCUCCUGAUGCCUAUUCCACGGACACAGAGUUCUCCGAACCCGAACAGAAACUCCCCAAGACCUGCAGCUCAGCCAGCUACAACGGCAAGAGUGAGCCAAUGGAGAAGUCAGGCUAUCUGCUGAAAAUGGUUAAAACGUGGAAGAAGACCUGGAAGAGACGCUGGUUCGUCCUCAAAGAUGGAGAACUGCUCUACUAUAAGUCACCAAGCGACGUGAUCAGAAAGCCUCAGGGUCAGAUCGAAGUGAACGCGAGCAGCAGCAUCACUCGUGGAGACGGCAAGCAAGUUCUUCAGAUUAUGACGGGGAAGCAUGUGUAUUAUCUGAAAGCGGACUCUCCUAACCUGCUGGAGGAGUGGCUGCACGUCCUGCAGAGUGUCCUGAGGCUGAAAGCUGCCAGUCCUCUGUUCACUCAGCCAGACAUCCGUCCCAUCAUGAAGGGACUUCUCAUCAAGGUAAAGCACGGCUACUCAAAGCGGGUCUGGUGCGCUCUGAUCGGCAAGACGUUGUACUACUUCCGCAGCCAAGAGGACAAGUUCCCUCUGGGUCAGAUUAAGUUAUGGGAGGCCCGGGUCGAGGAGGUGGACGGGUCAAAGGAGUCAGAUGACGAGCUGAAAGGAUGUGGGCGGAGCUUAGAGCCGGCUCCCUUUACUAUCGCCGUCCACCCUCAGGAGCAAAGCCCAACAUACUUGCUAAUCGAGUCCCGCCAUGAAAAGGAUUCAUGGCUGUACCAUCUGUCUGUGGCAGCAGGUACCACUGUGGGUAAAGUUGGCACCGAGUUCGAACAACUGGUGGGAAAACUCUUCCAACUGGACGGAGACGCAAAUUCUCAGAUCUGGAGAAAUCCCACGCUGUGUUUCAGGAAGGAGGCGCUCUCUUCUCCUCUCACCACUCUGCCAUCACAAGCCCUGCAGACAGAAGCCGUCAAACUCUUCAAGACCUGUCAGCUUUUCAUCAACGUCGCCAUCGACGCUCCGGCCAUCGACUACCACGUCUCUCUGGCUCAGAGCGCCCUGCAGGUCUGCCUGGCCCAUCCAGAGCUUCAGAACGAGUUCUUUUGCCAGCUCAUGAAGCAGACCCGCAUGAAGCAACCACAAAGCCACGCAGGACCUCUGCAGGGUUGGCAGUUUCUGGCUCUCUGUGUGGGAUUGUUUCUGCCGCGGCAUCCUUUCCUCUGGCUGCUCCAGGUUCACCUGAAGAGACACGGAGACUCCAGGACCGAGGUGGGAAAGUAUGCCAUCUACUGCCAGCGCUCUCUGGAGCGGACCCAGCAGAGGGGCGAGCGGCAGGCCCGGCCGUCCCGAAUGGAGAUUCUGUCCAUCCUGCUGAGGAAUCCGUAUCACCACUCUCUGCCUUUCAGCGUCCCCGUCCACUUCCUCAACAACACCUAUCAGGUGGUGAGCUUUGAUGCUUCAACAACUGUGGACGAGUUCCAGAGUCGCCUCAACCAGGACACAGGGAUGAGGAAAACCGGACUUUCCGGCUUCAGCCUGUACACAGACGAUCCCACCGGACGAGAACUGGAGCACUGCCUGUCAGGAGGCAUCAAGAUUUGUGACAUUCUCUCCAAAUGGGAGCAGGCGUCCAAAGAGCAGCACUCUGGGAAGUCUGAAAACACCAGAACCUUUCGUCUUACCUACAAGAACAGGCUGUACUUCUCUCACCAGAUGAGGGGCGAGUCGGAGAGGGAGAGGUUGCUGCUAGCUUACCAGACCAAUGAAGCCAUCGUAGCCGGACACUUUCCCGUCAACAAGGAACUGGCUCUGGAAAUGGCAGCGCUGCUCGCCCAGGUGGAGUUUGGAGAUUCUGAACGGUCCUUGUUUGCACCUGGAUUGGCCCAAAGUAAAUCCAAUCAGAGCUUAAAACAAGUGUUGGACAGAUUCUACCCUAAACAUUACCGCAGAACUGCAUCUGAGGAGCAGCAAAGGCAACUGGUGCAGCGUCUGUCGGCCCGCUGGGCCUCCCUCAAGGGGCGCGGCUCAUCCGAGUGUGUCCGGAUCUACCUGACUGUCGCCAGGAAAUGGCCGUUUUUUGGUGCUAAGCUGUUUCGGGCAGAGACUGCCACUCCCUCCCCUGAGUCGGGUCAGAGUGUUUGGCUGGCGGUGCAUGAAGAUGGGAUCAGCGUUCUGGAGCACAAUUCGAUCAAACUGCUGGUGACCCAUCCCUACAAGAACCUGAUGACGUUUGGAGGCUGCAAGGAGGACUUCAUGCUGGUGGUGGGCCAAAACAUCGGCAAGGACAAACCUACUGAGAAGCAUCUGUUUGUGAUGGACGCCUCCAAAAUCAGGGAAAUCACCCUCCUCAUCUCCAGUUACAUCAACAGCGCUCAUCAGCAGAAGGCCGCCGCCCACCACCUGUCUGCCCCGGCUCUGAUGGUGGCCCAACCCGUCAGCCUCAAGAGCAAAGAGCUGAGGAGCAAAUCCCCGCCGGCGCUCGGACGCCCGAGCAAGGCCCCCACGUUGCUCUGAGGCACGCCGAGUUUCAGCUAGAAAAACAAGCUUACUGUACUCAGUUAUUUCUGCAAACAGAAUGUCACUUCAGUUCAUGCUGCAAAAGGGAUCUGUUUGGUAUAUUUUAGUAUUAAAAAGUGGAAACCAGACCUCUCUUAGCUAGCAGAGAUUUUAGCAUCUAUUCUAAGUACAUUUUUGCUUGUGAUGAGCAUGGUAAAGCUAUUUAUUAUUAACUUUGUUCCUAAACCGCUCAUCAGUCACUGUGAGUUUGGUUUAUUUCCUUCAGUAAAAUUUUAUUUAAAGUCUGUUUUUGCCAUUUUUAUUAUUAUUAUUUGUUUUGAAUACAGGUAAGAAAGAUGCAACAAUUGCAGCUAGACUUAAAUGUAAGCAUUAAAAACCUCAUCUCUCUACCAAUCAAUAAAGAUUUUUAUCAUAUUUUUUAUUCAGAAAACUGUUUUCACAUUUAGAAGAAAAAAUUAGAAAAUAUUUAUGUUAAUAUUUUGUCACAAAGGCUUUGCAAGAAUUUCUAAAAUCUCGGUGCUCAUAAUGGCAACAUGUUGGAGUAGCUUUUUUAUGUUAUAUUACUGUUGCAACAAGGUAUUGUUUUUACAACCGAGAGCAGUUGAGUAACGCUAAUUAGAGUUGAAAAUGAUGUUUUAUGGAUGCAGAACUGGACCAAAGAGCAGAAGGAAGAAGUUCAAACCAUCUCAUGAGUCAUAAGGAUCUUAUCCCCUACUCCAACAUCUCUCUGCCCAGAUUUCUUACCAAAUCUGCCCACAGCGUCAUCAUCUAUGACUCCUUGAAAAUACAUGGAUGAUAAAUUAUCUAUCAGCAGUAAGCGUGGGAGUAAUCAUGUAGUUGCAGCAGUUUGCCAUCAGAGGGCGUAUCGAACACUGAACACUCCAACGGAAAUUCAGCGCUCUAACGGUCGGUGAUUAGCUGGGAGUUGCUCUCAUAUCUGCUAACAGGAUAACAUCAUCAUCUGUCCAGGCGGGCGUUCAUCAUGGCAGAAACUGGAGGCUGGGAAACAUAAAACACUCGGCUGCUGUGAGUCACGUUCUGACAGCAGAGGCGGUUGAGUCACAGCCUCGGGUCUCGAUCCAGGUGAGGGCAGGUAGGAGUCACUGCUUUACAAGCCAGGCGGUUUAAGUCAGAGCGAGACUCUCCCUCCUGUUGGUCGAAUGCAUGUCACCCUGUGGACUGGAACGAAAUGUUUGAAGAACUGCUUAAAGAAAAAAAUUCAGAGCGCUACA